rnacentral:rRNA from 1 species
AGCGAACGCUGGCGGCAGGCCUAACACAUGCAAGUCGAACGGACCCUUCGGGGUUAGUGGCGGACGGGAGAGUAACACGUGGGAACGUGCCUUUAGGUUCGGAAUAGCUCCUGGAAACGGGUGGUAAUGCCGAAUGUGCCCUUCGGGGGAAAGAUUUAUCGCCUUUAGAGCGGCCCGCGUCUGAUUAGCUAGUUGGUGAGGUAAUGGCUCACCAAGGCGACGAUCAGUAGCUGGUCUGAGAGGAUGACCAGCCACAUUGGGACUGAGACACGGCCCAAACUCCUACGGGAGGCAGCAGUGGGGAAUCUUGCGCAAUGGGCGAAAGCCUGACGCAGCCAUGCCGCGUGGAUGAUGAAGGUCUUAGGAUUGUAAAAUCCUUUCACCGGUGAAGAUAAUGACUGUAGCCGGAGAAGAAGCCCCGGCUAACUUCGUGCCAGCAGCCGCCGCAGUAA